CCGCCGCGCCCCGGGGAAGGCGCUGCGAGGCGGCGUGGGGCGGCCCGGCGCCGUCCGCGCGGAGCUGAACGCGGGAGCGGAGCCUCCGCACGCCUGUGGGACAGCGCGUCCGUCCUCCAGGGAUCUCACACGCCGUGCCCCUUUACUUUGCGCUAAGGGGAAAUUUCCAUCGCGGUGGAUCCAGGCGCUGAUGGAUGAGGGACGUGCGGGCCAAGCGCUGUGCUGAAGGACAGGAGAGCCCUGAGUUACAGAGAUGUCAAAGCCUGCAGACACCUACUUGAUAGGACAAGAGGUAAUGACCUUAAGUUGUUCCAGGGGAGAUUCAGGGUGGAUAUUAGGAACAACUUCUCAGAAAGAGCGGUCAGGCUGGAAAAGACCUCUGAGGUCAUCCUGUCCAACCUCAACCCAUCACCCUGUGCCUGCUGACCACAUCCCUCAGUACCACAUCUUCAUGGUUCUUGAACACCUCCAGGGACAGUGACCCCACCACCUCCCUGGGCAGCCUAUGCCAGUGCUCUUUCUGAGAAGAAAUAUUUCCUAAUACUGAACCUGAACCUCUCCUGGUGCAGCUUAAGGCCAAUAACUGUUGCCCUGAGUGCUUCUGUUCAGAGCAUAACACCCUGCGAAGAGUUCAUGCAGCCACAGGCACCUCAGGUCUGCUCUAUCCCCCUUCAGGCCCGUUCUCUUCCUCUUGUCAAUCAGAGUUGGAACUAGGUGAUCUCUGAGGUCCCUUCCAAGCCAAGCCCUUCUGCAGUUCUGCACAGUUGUGUCACUAGAUGGCCUUCCAGACUGAACACAGCGCAACUGUGCUCCUCAUGUCUGGGAAUAACUUCUUUCAAGGAAGGCCCUGCUUUGUGUGCAGGGCAAGCAGAAAGAAAAAAAGUGUUUCAGUGAUAGAGGGAGGACAGGCAUGCAAAAUGUCAUAUACUUCAAAUAAAGAAGGAAAAAAAAAAAGGUAGCCAAUCUCACAUCUGUUUAAAGCUAACCAUUUUACUGAGGAAAUACUUGACAUGAGCAUGUAGGAUACACAAAAAGAUCCUGUAUGAACCAUCAUCUUUAAUAUCUGAUCUGCAAGAUAGCAAAAGCUGUCAGCUCCACAAGGUUGCAGGGGCUGAGGGCAUUCAAGUAUUGCAUAACAAUAAAUGGUCCAAAAGUGAUUUGUUUUACACUGAAACAAUUCUUUUGAACUUGGCUCGAAACGAAUGGCAUACUAUGGUGUGAUCAACAAAUAGACUUGCUAGUUUUCCUGUAAUUACACAGCAUUUCAGUGUCUCUGAUGCUUAUUUUUAAUUAAUGGGUUUGCAGUUCUUCAGACAUAAAAAGUGCCAUGCAAAAGCGGUGUAUUUUGCUGACUGAAAAGUAAAAUCUAAUAUGGAAUUCUGCCACUGAUUUAAAUGGACAAAAAUGCAACCCUCUAUUAGUGAAAUUCAAAUCUAAUCACUAUUAAUUGCAAGUGUACUUCUCCGGUUUUGGCCUAUACAUCAAUUUUGGCACAAGUUCUGUGUCAUCAAAAGCUUACACAUCUGCAGUCUUAGGAGUGUGUACAGUGAGCGCACCAAAAUCAGAGUUGCAAUGGGGUAUGGUAAAUAUCUGUGUUCCAUUACUGUCACUUAUUUGGUGCUUCACAGUUGCUGAGAAAAAUAAUAGGAAGGGGAGAAAGGUAAGCACACUGCCUAGGAAAACUGCUGGAAGCAUAUGGUUUUUGAAAGAUGCUUUAAGAGUUUAGAUGGCCUUUAUGGGUGAUUUGGGUUAGUUUUCAGGAAAAAGACUCUCCGUUUGGUUUAAUAUUGAAGCUAUAACCAUUUAGAUACAGUGUGAUGAAAUUCCUCAAAAUACCACUCAACGAAAAGUGUUCCAAUCUCCUGGGCAGUUUGGUUGUUUUCACGUAGGAACAUCAGGUGUGCCAUUAGCCUGACCUCCUAAGGGAGCAAUACCAAUGUGCUCACGUUAUGGCUCUCUGUCCUUCACAAUGUGCUUAAAAAAGAUAACAGAUAUAAUACUACUAAAGGUCUUCGAGUUUUGCAACUACAGAGAAUUAAGUAGGGGAAGAGAAGCGUAAUGCUAAAUUGUGCAAAAUGGUAACAAAAACUGUUAUUAAUAGUAAAUAUGUUAAUGGGUUUGACAAAAUAUUCUGGAUAAUUACAUUUUUUCAAUUAAAGGAACUCUUAAUGCUGUUAAAGUUAUGAGUUUCCAAUCACUUAAGCUGUGUCACAGUGCGUGCUCUUAGGCUGAUAUGUGUGCCUUGCAGUAAUAUUUUUAAUGGAAAAUAUGACUAUUUUAGCUAGCCAGCAAAGUGUCAGACUGAUGGUACUUCCUUGUAGCUACAACUGCAGAGAGCAGCAGCAGCAAACGCCAUCUGCUGUAUGCUCACGCUAUUAGCUUAUAUGGUACUAUAAAUGAGACAAGAAUGGUUACCCACUUUUUCUAGAGUGUCUUUAAAAAUGAAACUCUUGAAAUACACUUAAGAAUUUUCUUCUUGAUAAUACAGACCCAAGCUUUACAGAGACUUAAAAUUUACAAUAAGUGCUCAAUUUAUGUCAAAGAAAUACUCAUAAACUUAGUUAAGAAUGUUCAUAAUGAGGUAAAGCCUUAAAUGCUUGUCUUCAAAGAUGAACAGUGAUACUUUGUGUUAUCAAUGACGAAUUCCCACUGAGCUAUAGCAUGUACAUAUAGAGCAAGACAUAAAGCCCCGAAGUGUUUACAGUCUCAAAAGGAAAGACAGACCCUACAGAAUGGGACUUAACAUGCAAGUAGAGUGAAUUUCCAGUAAAUGUCCAAUGUUAUAUAAAUGCCACAGUUGUUUGUAAUGCACAAAAUGUAAAGAAUAAUCUCAGUCCCAUAGAAUUUACUGUGUGAGCUGACAGGGCAGAUAGGGAAUGACGAACUAUAAUGUAGGAGAAGUCAACUGUGUGCCCUGCCCACACAAAGAAGUUAUUGGUGAAUAUCAGUGUAAGAGGAAAAUGCUGUGACAAAGUAAAGUACAUGCUCAAGGCAAU
ensembl:lncRNA